GCUUGCUCUUCUGGAUGAGUUGCGAACGGGUGAGUAACGCGUAGGUAACCUGCCUGGUAGCGGGGGAUAACUAUUGGAAACGAUAGCUAAUACCGCAUGACAACAGUUAUUGCAUGAUAACUGUUUAAAAGGGGCAAUUGCUCCACUACCAGAUGGACCUGCGUUGUAUUAGCUAGUUGGUGAGGUAACGGCUCACCAAGGCGACGAUACAUAGCCGACCUGAGAGGGUGAUCGGCCACACUGGGACUGAGACACGGCCCAGACUCCUACGGGAGGCAGCAGUAGGGAAUCUUCGGCAAUGGACGGAAGUCUGACCGAGCAACGCCGCGUGAGUGAAGAAGGUUUUCGGAUCGUAAAGCUCUGUUGUAAGAGAAGAACGAGUGUGAGAGUGGAAAGUUCACACUGUGACGGUAUCUUACCAGAAAGGGACGGCUAACUACGUGCCAGCAGCCGCGGUAAUACGUAGGUCCCGAGCGUUAUCCGGAUUUAUUGGGCGUAAAGCGAGCGCAGGCGGUUAGAUAAGU
rnacentral:rRNA from 1 species